ACAAUGAGCACGUUGGACUAGAACAUGAACCUCUUCCCGACCUUCAUAACCCGGAGAGGGCAAAGGCAGCGCCACUGAAAACCAGCCUCCACCGCCCCCCCCCCGGGGGGCCCUCGGGGAACCCCUGGGACAAAAGCCAUCCAAGGCUCUCUUGGGAGUCUCUGCCCCCCACCCCCACCCCUUUAUUGCCUCUGCAGGGGCUCUGGGAGACAGAGAGAGCCCGUCUCAGGGAAGGAGAGCCGUCCUCUCAACCAGCAAGAGCUGCCUCCUCCUGUGCUCUGCAGACGUCCUAAUGCUCUGAGGAAGUGGCCAGCUUUCAGCACCUACUAGGUCCCUGGCAUUGUGCUAGACCGAGGAGCACUUGCUCUCAUGGAGCCGCCCGCGCCUUCCCUCUGCAGACACACUAAGUCGCGUCUGCACGGAUAGAUAAAUAAUGCGUAAAUCAAUGGUAGUUCUGAGGAGGGUCCUGGCAUGGACCGCGAGAGCAGGGGAACGUUUCAAGAAAGACAGUGAUUGGGCUGAGUUGGAGGAAAGCAGAGUCAGAAAUCCUUGUUAGAGAGGAACGCCUUCUAUGCAAGGUGGAUGGAGAGAAUAAACAGGUUGGGGACACGCUGGGCACCUUUUCCGGUGAUUAUCUUAGUGAGAUCAACAUGACCAUCAGAAUCCAGAAGAUGCUGACAGGUAGAGAAGAUAAAAUGGCAAAAUCAAAUCUUGCAUUUGAGUUCAAAACAGCAAUCCCACAAGUACAAAAUAGCAGGAGUUCUUGUAGGUAGCAGAUCUUGUGACAAAAUACCACAACUUUUUAAAAAGAAUCUCAGUUUAAUUUAAGUUCAUAUUGUCAGAGUAAACAAAAACCCCAAAUUAAGAGGAUCCCUGACUUCACUGAUAGAAGCAUCUUGGCUACAAGGGGAAAAACAAAUAAAGACAUAGACUUAUAUGUAUGUAGAUCAACUAGUUAUCUACAACUCUAAAUAUGAGUUAUAUGUUUAACUAGAAACACAAUAUAACCAUAUGUGUAUAACUACACAAUCUAUCUAGUUGUAUGUGUAACUAUUUUAUGUAUCUAUGUAUAACUCAUUUUAGACACAUCAUUAUACAUCCAAAACUACAUUGUUAUGCACAGGACUAUACAGGAAAUAUGUAUAUAUUUAUUCUUCAAAAGUUAGAUACAUCAUAUACAUAUGUGUAUCACUAUCGUCCUUGUGGUUGUGAUACUUCUAUUAAUGAAUUUGUAGAUCAUAUUUUGUUGCUCUGACAAUCAUAUACAUCCAUCCACAUAAACACCCAAGUACAUGAUAUACAGCAUUUAAAACUAUAGAGAACUCUAAUUCUACAGAUGAUAUCAUAGAUAAUUUCAUGUAACAUAUUUUAUUCCUAUACUACUAUCACUUCCCUCUUCUGAUCAUGAUGCUGUUCUUUGGGAAACAAUUUUUUCAAAUUCCCAAUUUUACUAACCAAUCCAAGCCAUCAUUUCCAUACAAAAAGAAAAAGAUUAUACCCAAAGAGUACAACAAAUCUCCUACAUUUUGAGCUUACUUUUCUUGUCUACAAAAUCCAUCUCAUUCCUGUAUUUCCCAGCCCCUUCCUACCCUUCCUAUAACACAGAAGAGACCUACAUUCAUUUCUAUUUACUUUGUGCAGGUAACUUUCACAGUUUAUUCUUCCCACAUUAAUUCUCUGGUAGUGUAGAAUGCUCUCUUGGUUCACUGUUCCAUUAUCUCAUGUGUAGGAUGGGCACACAUCACUUUUACUUACUAUGACUGAAAAUAACCCAGAAAUGCUGGCCAUUCUCUUGAAGAAAGGAGCAGAUGUCAGUGCUACAGAUAGGUUUCAGAGGGAGAAGAAAAGAAGAGGAAAAGAGAGCACAAUUUUUAUUAUCCAAACAGAAUCACUUAAAAAGCUGAAGAGUAACAUCUUUCUUAUUCAAGGACAGCCAUUACGUUUGCUAUUGGUGGUGAACCCACUGGUAGAGUCAGUCUAUGUAUGAUGUUGACCUCUCUCACCAAGCUGAAGGACAUGCUUCUUGAAACGGUUGUAAUAUGUAAGCAUGCUACUGCUUCAACACCCUGAGCAUCUUUUAUCGUCUUUAUUUUAGAGCCAAUUAUAAUGUAACCUUUUAUAAUGUAUUAUUCAUAUUUUAGAAAGUAGAUUUUGUGUUCACUCAUCUUGUGUGAAUAUUACAUUUUUCCAGCAAAUUCAUUGAAUGUUCAAAAUGCCAUCAACUCAGUAGGAAUUAGAGGCACUAGAACAGAAAGACAACAAACUGAGAGAUAGACCUUUUUCUAUAUUACUAUGUAUAAUAAUGAAUGUUGAAAAGAAAGAUCAGGUGGAAAUUUUAGAAGCAGCUGCGUUAGCAUCAUUAGCAGCCAAAGCUACAUUUGGUGCUCCAUAGAACUGAUUGAAGAAGGUCUACAUUCAGGUCUUGCAUCAUCAGCUUGCCUUACAUAUUCCUGACAGGUGCCUGAGACUUAAAAAUCUAUAAGAAUGAUCUUGGAUAGAAUGUACUCUUAAGGAAUCCACUUGCCAAACAACUGAAUUUAAGGUAAAUUACUUGCUUAUUAGAGAAGUACUUUUUAACUCUUCUGGUGUGAUAUAUAACAUUCAGCAAAAAUAUUUAUUAGAGUCCUAUUUUAAAUGCUAAUUAUACUCAGAGUACUUUGUGGUUUGCAAAAUGAUUCCCCCCCCCCAAUUCCUAAAGAUAGGUAGCAAUUGGCAGUGAUCAGCACUCAGCAAUUUUUGUAAAUACCUUUUAUAAAGUAAUGAAAAAGUAACUUCCCCAAUGAAAUUAGAGACUGUUAUUAUGAAAUAUACACAUUUUUAACAUUUUUGGUUUUUUCUCCCUAUUGAUGAAACUGUACUAUUUUGUUGCACUUUACUUGUGCCAUACAGUAUUUGAUUUUUUUCUCAUUUUUUUGCCUUUGAAGCACAUGUCACUUCUAUUGAGACUGAUUGACUAUACCCUAUUACAUGCAUUGGAGAAAAUAAUCCAUAGACAAGUGGAUACUAUUUUUUGGGGGGGAACACACUGAAUCCCUGAAUUUUUUCCCUUAUUUUUAUUAUUGAUUUUUUUUAAUUUUGAUUAGAAUAUUUUAUUGUGUUCCUUUUUUUCAUUUCUUGUACUUAAGGUAUAUACAAUCAAUUUGUUAUUCUGCAGUAGUAGUAGUAGUAGUUGUUGUCUCUCGGUAACCGAGGAUGACUAUUGUCUUUGUGUGUUUCUGUGCACAAAGACACUUGUGCAUGAAGAUUUAAGUUGAAAAGUAGAUGCACAGAGGCAGUCCCACUCUCUCAGCAUUGGAAGCCUGGGUCCAGUGGCACAAAAAGUCGUUACAUCUGGAGACUUCCUUAGCUGCAUUGGAUGGCCGUGUUGUCUUUUGUGCUCCAACAUGCCCUAAGCACUCCACAGUGCUUUGCUGCGUCGCCAUCUCAGCCGUUGAACCUUCUUAUUGGUUUCGUCCGUCUGUUCAGCCGAAGCAGUCUUCACAUGCUGGGUGAGCAAAGCCCUGGUUCACCAGGGGUCCACGAUGACCCGAUGGCUACCUUCAUAAGGUUUAGCCGGCCUGUCAAAGCUGUUGCCCGGGGUGUGGCCGCUGCCGCAUGCUAGCAGCUACUGGGAGCCACAAGUGAGAGCUGGGUGUCAGGUGAGGGUCAGAGGCUGGAGAGCUGCCCUAUUCUGCAGUAAUAUAAGUUUAAAUAUAUAUAUAUAUAUAUAUAUAUAUAUAUAUAUAUAUGUUAUAAUAUUAAUGCAUACCCCAAAGUUUUUAAACUGUGGGAACCUGCCAUUUGUUGAUAAAAUGCUAUGGGACUGUGAUUAAUAUUUGUGUCUGAUUCUAGAAAAUGGGAUCAAAAAGGAGCACAAAUUUAACCUGAAUAGUGCCAAAAAGAGUACACAGGUCAAAAAGAAAGAAACCAAUCCAGGAAGGACUGAUGCACUUCUAAGUCAUUACAAAAGGACUUGAACCUAGUGUGAGACUCGAAGUUGUGACACUUGACGUAUAUUAAGAUGUAUGACUUCCUUGUAUCCACACUCUUUGUGACAAGUAGGGAAGUUUGGUUAUCAUCCUGGCUCCCAUAUCCCUGAGAAUGACAAAAAAAAAAAUCAGACCAGGGAAUGACACUUUCCUAUCAAAAUAAAAAUCUAGUACUUUUUCUUUCUUGUAGUAUGGCAAUUUCCUGUAGACUUGCCUGCAAAUGGGUAAGUGAAAUAUUGCUGCAUUCUGUCCUACAGAGUUGUGGGAUAGAACUUACUUUAAAUUGGACCCUAAACAAGGGCGAAUUAUGAAUUUAUUCUUGUUUACUCAACAUUUUAUAUACAUAGAUUUUGAUAUUUUGAUUCUGAUUUUGAAUUUUUUUUCUUUCUCCCAGAUGGUUAACUUUCUUACAUUUUUUUCCUUUGUUUUUGGCUUGUCCUGCAUUUAACACAUGUUAAGUAGCCGCAACCUCGAGUCUCACACAUGAUCAAAUAAUUUUUUUUUUGUACAGAAUGUCAUCAAUCCCCAUAGGACUGGCUUGCUUUCUUUUAUCUUUUUGUGCUCAUUUGGCACUCUUGCAGGUCAAGUUCUGUGGUCCUUUAUGGCCCGUUUCUUCUUGAUUAGACAUAGUCAUCAAGCAAAAGUCUCAGAAUAUUUAAAUCACUAAUGUCAGAUUGCCAUAGUCCAAAGCCUUUUGGGUAUGCUAUUAUAUGUGAGGUAAACAGACAUCUUAGCUAUUUUAUUGCAAAAGUAAAGCAGUUAAAAAAAAUUUUUUUUCAAUACUCGUGACAUGUGUUUCAAAGACAAAAAAAUGAGAAAAUAAGAGGGAAAAUAAAAUACUGUAUAACACAUAGGAAGAAAACAAAAUGUUAAAAUUGUGUAUAUUUCACAAUUAUAGAGGUAGAGGGACUAGUUUUCAAAAAAUAAGAUUCAUUUUCUCUUUGACUUACCAUAAUAAAGUGUGAAUACAAAUAAGGUAGACAAAACAAUGUGAGUGCAAAUGAGGUAGACAAAACAAUGUGAAUGCAAAUGAGGCAGGUAAAGCAAUAAUACAUUCAAGAAAAUACAAAAAAAAACUAGUAAAGGCACAAAAUGUUACAAAAGGCACAUCAGGUCACAUGAUUUUCUUCUUUGAGGUAUGUGUUGUCCUAUAAGGCAAUUUGUACAAAUAUAAGGAUCAACAAAAUAAAAUGCAACAAAAUAGUACAAAUCCAGCAAAAAAAAGAGUCUAAUUACAACCAAUAGUAAAAUACAAUCAGUAUAAGCAAUUAUGCAUCACCAACAGAAGGUACUCAUUUUAUGUGGCUACAAUGAAUCUACAAGUACCUCUCUCUAAUUUUUAUGGCAGUUGGUGUAGUUAGUAGGACCUGGAAAGGUCCAUCAUAAGCAAGUUCAGUUGACCCAGUUUGAAAUUAUGUACACACUAUCACCUGGGUUUAAAUCAUGAAGCGAAGUCUAUGGGGUCUGCUUGAACAGCAGCACCAGAGUCAUGGAGUUCUUGCAAUUUUGUUUGUAAUUGUCUGAUACAUGUAGCAAAGGUUGUAUCCCCUCCUAACAAUGAGGUAUACGCAGGGGUAAAUGGUUGUGCCUGAAUGGGUGGAUGUCCAAAUAGCAUCUCAAAUGGUGAGAUUUGUAAAUCACCUCUGGGUCUGCUUCUGAGAUAAAAUAGGGCCAGAGGUAGAAUUUCAGGCCACUUUAAAUGAGUCUCCAUGCACAAUUUGCCAAUCAUGGUUUUAAAUUCUUUAUUCAUUUGUUCAACUUGGCCAAAGCUCUGGGGAUGAUAUGGUGUAUGAAAUUUAGGAGUUAUCCCCAAAUAUGAAUAAAUUUGAGAUAAGAUUGAAUCAGUAAAAUGAGUUCCUUUAUCUGAAUUGAUAGGUGUUGGAAUCAAUAGGAGCUGGCAAGCCAGGGGUGGAAAAUACUCACAGCUGCAGGUAGGGAGGAAGGGAAGGAGCCACAGCUAGGUGGCUGGAGCUGGGGUUUGAAAACUCCCAGCAUAAAAGUCCUUAAAAAGCUCUCAGGUCACUUGACCCCCAUUGCCUAGCCCUUACCACUCUUCUGACUUGGAGCCAAUACACAGUAUUGACUCCAAGAUGGAAGGUAAGGGUUUUAAAUUUUUAAAAAAAGUUCUCAGUUCAGGUCCCUUCAUAAGUCUCCAAAAAUGUAAAAGUUAAAAUUAAUAUUCAAUACCCCAAGUAUUAAUUUAAUACUAUUUAUUAAAAUCCACUUAGAUGAAAGAGAAAAUUUAAAAAACAGGGAAAGGAAAAAAAAAUACUCCCUUCCUCCACGCUGGUAUAAGCCCAAGAGCUAGAGCUUCCAGGAGAGAGCACCAGUGUGAAGGAAGUUGAAACUGAAUACCAAAUUAACCAAUUAUGCAAAAGGAAAAGGGGAUUAUGGGAAAUGUAGUCUUUAGGGUUCAAGAUUCUAAACCAAUACAUUUCUAAAUCAAUACACUCACAAUGAGAUUCCAGUCCUCUUACACUUUAGGACCAAUGCAUCUGUGACCUCAUCAACAUGGGCUCUACACCAAUGAUGAUCACUGUCUGAAUGGUGACCUUGACUGGAACAAUCCUCUUGGAAGGUCCAGGUCUAUACUAUCCCUUUAGUAUUGCUUAGUCCUUGUGAGCUUCUACCAUUGAAGAAAUUCAGCAUGCUGCAGUUAAAAUGGCAACAAGCUUCUUGCUAUUCAAUAAGGCUGGGUCUUGAAUUGCAGACACAAAAUCUUCUACCAGACCCAAAUUCAAAGCUUUUCCAAACAGUUAAUAUGUGCUGAAGAGUGAGUACACUCCACUGCAAGAUCUUUCUUAAGAAGUUAGGAAAGUCAGGGAUACUGAGUCAAGAAAACAUUGGUCCUAUUGCACCUUCAAAAUCCCGGUCACUUCCAUACUGAGACAAAGCAUAAUAGGAGGAUUUUAAUGUAAGACUGACAUUAACAACUAAGAAAAGGUAAAUGUAAUAAACUGUAGAUUGAAAAUUAAUAUCCAAAAUACUCUUGGCAUUAUACUUAAUAAGAUUUAUUAAAUAAUAACUUAAAGCAAAAAAAAAAAAAGGAAAGUAAAAGGUUAGAGAAACAGAGAGCUCUCAUCCAUAUGCGCAUGCAGGAAAAAGAGAGAGCAAGAGGGAUGAGCCACACAAUUAUUUACACACAUAACAAAUGCAAACGUGAACAAAGGGAAAAGGAUUCUUGGAAUAAGAAAAGAAUAUACAAAAUAAAACUGGUAACAUGCAAAACA